GUCGACGAACUCUGGUAUUGAUUGGUGCUUGCAUCAUGAUUUACAUUUGAGUGAGUGGCGAACUGGUGAGUAACACGUGGGAAACCUGCCCAGAAGCGGGGGAUAACACCUGGAAACAGAUGCUAAUACCGCAUAACAACUUGGACCGCAUGGUCCGAGUUUGAAAGAUGGCUUCGGCUAUCACUUUUGGAUGGUCCCGCGGCGUAUUAGCUAGAUGGUGGGGUAACGGCUCACCAUGGCAAUGAUACGUAGCCGACCUGAGAGGGUAAUCGGCCACAUUGGGACUGAGACACGGCCCAAACUCCUACGGGAGGCAGCAGUAGGGAAUCUUCCACAAUGGACGAAAGUCUGAUGGAGCAACGCCGCGUGAGUGAAGAAGGGUUUCGGCUCGUAAAACUCUGUUGUUAAAGAAGAACAUAUCUGAGAGUAACUGUUCAGGUAUUGACGGUAUUUAACCAGAAAGCCACGGCUAACUACGUGCCAGCAGCCGCGGUAAUACGUAGGUGGCAAGCGUUGUCCGGAUUUAUUGGGCGUAAAGCGAGCGCAGGCGGUUUUUUAAGUCUGAUGUGAAAGCCUUCGGCUCAACCGAAGAAGUGCAUCGGAAACUGGGAAACUUGAGUGCAGAAGAGGACAGUGGAACUCCAUGUGUAGCGGUGAAAUGCGUAGAUAUAUGGAAGAACACCAGUGGCGAAGGCGGCUGUCUGGUCUGUAACUGACGCUGAGGCUCGAAAGUAUGGGUAGCAAACAGGAUUAGAUACCCUGGUAGUCCAUACCGUAAACGAUGAAUGCUAAGUGUUGGAGGGUUUCCGCCCUUCAGUGCUGCA
rnacentral:rRNA from 1 species